rnacentral:rRNA from 1 species
ACUCCUACGGGAGGCAGCAGUGGGGAAUAUUGCACAAUGGGCGCAAGCCUGAUGCAGCCAUGCCGCGUGUAUGAAGAAGGCCUUCGGGUUGUAAAGUACUUUCAGCAGUGAGGAAGGUGGAUAUGUUAAUAGCAUAUUCAUUUGACGUUAGCUGCAGAAGAAGCACCGGCUAACUCCGUGCCAGCAGCCGCGGUAAUACGGAGGGUGCGAGCGUUAAUCGGAAUUACUGGGCGUAAAGCGCAUGCAGGUGGUUUGUUAAGUCAGAUGUGAAAGCCCGGGGCUCAACCUCGGAAUUAGCAUUUGAAACUGGCAAACUAGAGUACUGUAGAGGGGGGUAGAAUUUCAGGUGUAGCGGUGAAAUGCGUAGAGAUCUGAAGGAAUACCGGUGGCGAAGGCGGCCCCCUGGACAGAUACUGACACUCAGAUGCGAAAGCGUGGGGAGCAAACAGGAUUAGAUACCCUGGUAGCGUUA